rnacentral:misc_RNA from 1 species
CCUGCACUUUAUCGUGAACUUUGUUUAGUUUUGAGAGGUCUACUCUCAAACUUGUUCUUUGAAAACUAGAUAAUAUCUUUUAUUUCUUUGUUAAUUAAAAUAACCGAGAACACCGCGUUUUAAAGAGUUUAAAANAUUAAUGUUUAAUCGCUAAACUCAUAACCAUUAUCGUAAGAUAAUAUA